rnacentral:misc_RNA from 1 species
UUACUCAGACAAUUAACUCGAUAAUUAUGGACCGUAGUUGUCACAGGGGACAUGCAAUUACGAACGUUAAAAGAAGAGAAACAAUUAGUUUAUGCAAGACUGGGACAUUCCGCUGGAGAAUCUAAUAGGAUAUAUGAGCGACAACGCCAACGUUAUAGUUGGACAGCAUAACUCUGUCCUGUCGAGGGUUCAUGAACAGCAACCAAACGUGUACCAUCUGGGCUGUGUCUAUCACAUAGCGAAUACGCGUGUUCAACAUGCUCUGAAGAAGAUGACAAGUGGGGUUGUUGACACCUUUUACUACUUCCUUCACUGUUCCAAGAGAAAGGAAGAGUACCAGGGGUUUGUUGAUUUUGUAGAGCUGGAAGAUCCUGGAAAGCUCCUGAAACCCUGCCCAACUAGAUGGUUAUCCCUUCACAAGUGUGUGAAACGAUCACUGGUGCACUGGCCAGCACUGAAAUCUUACUUUGACAGCCAGCCAGAAGUUAAGAAGAAAGGGUCUUGUGUACAAUGGUGUGCCUUCAAAAUUCAUGAUGAAGUUCUCUACAUGACCUACCUCUUCCUAAAUUACAUCCUAGAACCAAUUAUUGACUUCAACACCACUUUCCAGGCAAAUGAGGCAAUGGUGGGCUAUCUGCAUCCAGAGAUAAAGCGUUUCUUCAAAACCAUGCUCAGCAAGUUUGUCAAGAUAAGGGUCAUUACCAGUGCUACCAAUGUUACUAAGGUGGACUUUAAGAAUCCUGACAACCAGCAUGAUGAUGACAACCUGGCUGUUGGUAUGGGUGUAAGACAGUACCUGAGCUCCAACCCUGACAUUAACUCCAAAGCUGUUGAAACCUUCUUUAAUUGCACAACUCAGUUUAGAGAUUUACUCCAGGUCUGGCAAGUCAGAAGAUGGAAGACGAAUUUCAAGACGUGUUUGGCAGAGGAAAAUGAGCUACCCACAUUUAACUAUGGAAUGACUUCAAUGGACAGCUACUGGCAUGACAUCUACAAAACAACCAAUUCCCACUGGACAGAAACGCUUUCCCAACCUAUGUGUACUGGCAUUCGCCUGCCUUUCCCUACCACACAGUAAUGCAGACACUAAAAGAUUAUUCUCUAGAUUACGGAAAGUUCAAUCACACUAUAGGGGGCAGUUAAAGCAGAAAAUCUAGAAAAUCUAUUGGCUAUAAAAGUGAAUAUGGAUUCCCCGUGCUAUCCCUUUGUGCCAACAGAGAAUAAGUCGAAGAGUGUGAAGAGAGCAUGUGUUGCAUACAAUGAACAGUGCAGGUCAGAUGAGACUUUAAUGUAAUGGAUGUGAAAAGGGACAGAUUGUGACAGGGUUUCAGUGAUAUUACUGAUAUGUAUCAUUAAAUGAUGUUAUUAAUGGUUGUCAUAUUUGUAGGUAUGUUGUGAUUAGGAAGUUAUUGCUAUAUUAUAUAGUAUAUAUGAUGUUCUUAUUAAGAAGUGAUAGACUGUAUGUAUGAUGUUUUGGUUGUGAUAGACUGUAUGUAUGAUGUUUUGGUUGUGAUAGACUGUAUGUAUGAUGUUUUGGUUGUGAUAGACUGUAUGUUGGUUGUGAUAGACUGUAUGUAUGAUGUUUUGGUUGUGAUAGACUGUAUGUAUGAUGUUUUGGUUGUGAUAGACUGUAUGUAUGAUGUUUUGGUUGUGAUAGACUGUAUGUAUGAUGUUUUGGUUGUGAUAGACUGUAUGUAUGAUGUUUUGGUUGUGAUAGACUGUAUGUAUGAUGUUUGGUUGUGAUAGACUGUAUGUAUGAUGUUUUGGUUGUGAUAGAAUGUAUGUAUAAUGUUUUGGUUGUGAUAGACUGUAUGUAUGAUGUUUUGGUUGUGAUAGACUGUAUGUAUGAUGUUUUGGUUGUGAUAGACUGUAUGUAUGAUGUUUUGGUUGUGAUAGACUGUAUGUAGAUGUUUUGGUUGUGACAGAUUGUAUGUUGGUUGUGAUAGACUGUAUGUAUGAUGUUUUGGUUGUGAUAGACUGUAUGUAUGAUGUUUUGGUUGUGAUAGACUGUAUGUAGAUGUUUUGGUUGUGACAGAUUGUAUGUUGGUUGUGAUAGACUGUAUGUAUGAUGUUUUGGUUGUGAUAGACUGUAUGUAUGAUGUUUUGGUUGUGAUAGACUGUAUGUAUGAUGUUUUGGUUGUGAUAGACUGUAUGUAUGAUGUUUUGGUUGUGAUAGACUGUAUGUAGAUGUUUUGGUUGUGACAGAUUGUAUGUUGGUUGUGAUAGACUGUAUGUAUGAUGUUUUGGUUGUGAUAGAAUGUAUGUAUAAUGUUUUGGUUGUGAUAGACUGUAUGUAUGAUGUUUUGGUUGUGAUAGACUGUAUGUAUAAUGUUUUGGUUGUGAUAGACUGUAUGUAUAAUGUUAUGGUUCAAAAGGAGGUACUCUAUUUUGGGUCUAAUACCUUAAACCUGUGCAAUGUGCCUGUCUUUAUGGCACCUAUGUGAAAACUGACAUUUAGUUUUCUUGGAAGGGUGAUACAGUACCUUGAUGCACCUUUUGAUAUAUUUAACAGGUAUUAGUUUCUUUUAUGUAUUAUGAAUGCAGGUUCAUUCAUAAACUGUGUGUUUCUAAACUAGAAUCUGUUUGAUAUUCAGCUCAUGAUUAAAGUUCAGUCAGUGUAUUUCUGAUAUAUUUACAUAUACAUAUAAAUUCCUAAUAAAUUCCCAAUGUUUCAUUUUUCAAAAAGCCCCUUAAACCUUUCUCUAUUUCUAAACUAUUGAGAUUAUGAUGCAUUUUCUGAGCUGUUCAAAAUACCCUAUUACUGCUGUUAAAGAUAUGGUUUGCUGACUUAAAAAAAAGUAAUGACACUACAUAGAUACGCAUAGAAGAUUUUUCAGUACUUCCUGGUCUUAAUUAUUGAUGCUUACAAUCGUGACUUGUAAACUUCCUUGUGGACACAUUCCUCUUUUGAUGAAAGGAAAUUACAACAGAAUAAAAACUUUCACACAUGGUUUCACAAAAAAUGGAUAAAGUCAUUGACAUUAUGGUUGUGAUAGAUUGUAUGUAUAAAUGAUAUAUAUCCUGUUAUGAUUUGAUUAUUUUGAUAAAUACAAUAAAAAUAAAACUGU